rnacentral:lncRNA from 1 species
AUUAAAUAAAUGAGACAGCAAACAAGGCAAAAAACUGCCCCGCCCUGUCCCGUUAAAUGGGGCAGCGGCGGGAUGGGGUGGAGUGGGGUGAAAUGGGAUGGGACGGUGUUGUGGCGAGACGGGGCAGGAGCACCCAGCCCGAACCCGUCCCAUUGCCAUCACUUCCGCUAAAUGGCUUUAUUCAAAAUUUAGACAGCUCUGAAUCAUUUAAACAAAAAAUUAUGAAAGUAAAUUAAAAACCAGCACUAAAUUUAAUUAAAUUAUAAAUGUUUCUGAAUCUUCAAAUCGGGAACCAUAUACCUCAUGCCCAGUUCUAGUUAUAUAGCCAAAUUUAUUUUAAUUUUACUUUUUAUAAACUCUCAAUUAGAUAGAGUUAAUUUGUAAGAAAAAUUAAGGUGAAAAUUAAGCAGAAAAAAUGGAAUAGAAAUUAUUAGUGAAAUUACAUAGACAAAAUUACCCUCAGGCAUCGUCCAGUCACUAGCAGUGAAGUGCCUUGAUUGGAUCACCACAAAAACCCACAUCAAAAUUCCCGCGACAAUUCCCGCCGACCAUCGGAAAUUCACCAUUCCGAAGCAACUAUACAGCACAUUGAAGUAAUAUUAUUGUGACAUAUCACAGGGUGCAGCCACAGAAGACGAAGAAGAAGCAGAGGAAGGACACAAGCACGACGGACUCUAUGGCAGAGACGACAGACCAGACGACGGUGUCGACGAUGUAGAAGCUGGAGAAAUCCAGAUUUGGAAAUCGCAAAAGCGAAGCCAAACGCCGCGGCUCGAAGCUGGUGGUGAAGCUACUAAGGUCGAAAAAACUGCUCCAAGUCGGCGUCAAAUACGAGGCGAAGAGCCUGGGCCACCGGAAAAACGAUGUUGGGAGGGAGACACUGACGUCGAUCCACCGAAAAGCGGACGCGGCCGUCGACCACCGAGACAUUGCUAAAUUGGCUAUACAGGCGAGAUAUGUCCUUAUUUAUAUACAAACUCCUAUGUAAUCUUUAAUUAGGGAUUG